AAACCUCCGGUGUCCUGGCAGCCCUGCGAACGGUCGAGCAGCAGAGGGGCAACAAUCCUCCCUCUCGCGGCGUGCAAAAGGUCGGUGACCCACCCGACCCGUCUUGAAACACGGACCAAGGAGUCUAACAUGUGUGCGAGUCAUUGGGCGCACUAAACCCAGAGGCGUAAUGAAAGUGAAAGGGGGGCGUCCCGGGGUCUUCGGGCCUCGGUCGGCGCCCUCCGGGGCCGAUCCCCGACCGCCUGCUGCCGUCUCUGUCUCCCAUACCAAAGCGAGGUCAAGGGGGCGCGCGGGAUGAGUCCCUUUCUCCCGCGCCACCUCCGGCUUCGUGGGUGCAGGGCGCGCGCGACGGUCCGGCUCCUUCACGGGAGUCGCUUGUACGCAGGGGGGCGCAGGCCCGGGACUUGCCAUUCGACGCCGUCGCGCAAAUCUGUUGUUGGCCUC
rnacentral:rRNA from 1 species